GCGGAUGAGGACAAAGGGUAGAGUCAUCUGUCUGUCGAACAGAAGAUAGUGGGUUCGAGUCCCAUCAUCCGUG
rnacentral:tRNA from 1 species